UGAAUUGUUGGGGGAAAAAAAUACGUAAGGCACUUGGAGGGAAGUUUUAUUAGAAGAAAAUAACAAAAUCAAAACAAAGGUGAAAGGUUAACCUUCAGCUACCAUAGCUUAUUUUUCUGAACCCAAUAGCUAUAGCCUAUAAGCACAGAAAAGAGCCCAAUGUUACACAUAAAUAAAUAUAGAAUACACUUUCCUCGACAUAAUUCAUAUCAGUUAUGAGAUUGUUGACACAUAAAAAUUCAGCCCAAAUCGAACGACCCAAGGAGUGAAGCCCAAUUGGAGGAUUCCCAAAUCAGAUAGCUCAAAGAACGAAACCCAAUCAAACAAAUCAAGAUGAAGGCCCAAGAACGCGGUAACGCCAUCGCCCAAGUUUGCAAGUCGCCCAGAAUCUGAGCGAAUGGAAUGCCAUACAGUCGCCCGGAGCUAUUACUCUAUUCUCGCCCAAACCUUCAAGUCGCCCAAUGUCUUAACAAACAUAAAAUGUCGUGGUUAUCAAGAAGUGCAGUUAUCAAAGCAGUUAUUAAAGCAGUCCUAUUACAUUCCACGAUUCAAGAAAUUCAAUCGAAAGCAGUUGAACGAUGAAGAGUAAUGACAGCAAUUAAAAAAGGCAAUUUUCAUGACAAGUUGGCCAUUACGAGGAAAGUGGGCAGUUAUAGGACGAUCAAGCAGUUUUUAGGGCGGUUGAUCACAAAGAUAUCGUCCAUGAAGUAUAAAAGGGAGAAAAGACAUAGAAGCAAAGACCGAAUCAAAAACUCUCGAACAGAGAACAUGUAAUUUCAUUUCCUUAACUUAAACUUAAAUAUUUUUCUUUCAGUAACUCAUAUGCUUGCGCUCCUUGGAGGCACGUUGUUUUUAAUUUUCAAUUGUAAAGUCAUCGCCAAUAAAAGAACACCCCUUUUUCGGACUUUGUCUCAAGAGGUUUGUCCCUUACACAAUCGUCUGAUCAUUUUUAAUUGUUAGCGACUAACCCGCGCGAAACAGAGAUAAAUUUUGAAAAUACAAAAAAGUGUAAACCUUCAAUAGUCAUUCAAAAUGCAGCAAUCAAGAAAGCAAACAAUAAAGUCUUAACACUAAAAUCUCAGAGGAUAACGAAAAGGGAUGGAAAGUUGCAGAUAGCACAAUUUAUUUAUUUAGAAAUGAUAAUAAAAAUGGGAAAUAACUAAAAGAAUCUUGCAUUCUUGUUGCGAAGUGCGGGCUGCCUGCUGGACUGGAGUCUGGAGUGCUGCUCGCCUGCUCCUCUCGACUCUAAUCGGUGGCGGACCUGGCAGUGCCGUCUGCUGGCUGCUGCCGUAGUGGUGGUAGUUGGGUAGAGCCGUAGAGGUAGAUUGGUAGGUGGUGGCAAUUUGGGGAAAAUCUGGGACUGUUUUCGGG
rnacentral:lncRNA from 1 species